UUGAAUAUGGCAAAGCUAGAGAAAUCUAGUGACGCAAAGCUAUAGGGGCUAAGAUGAAUAUUAUGCCAGCCAGCUGCCGG
rnacentral:ncRNA from 1 species